CAGCAGCCGCGGUAAUACGUAGGGUGCAAGCGUUAUCCGGAAUUAUUGGGCGUAAAGAGCUCGUAGGCGGUUUGUCGCGUCUGCUGUGAAAACUGGAGGCUCAACCUCCAGCCUGCAGUGGGUACGGGCAGACUAGAGUGCGGUAGGGGAGAUUGGAAUUCCUGGUGUAGCGGUGGAAUGCGCAGAUAUCAGGAGGAACACCGAUGGCGAAGGCAGAUCUCUGGGCCGUAACUGACGCUGAGGAGCGAAAGCAUGGGGAGCGAACAGGAUUAGAUACCCCUGUAGUCCCUGUCUCUUAUAC
rnacentral:rRNA from 1 species